AAAAAUACUAUGAAGAGAAGAGUAGGUAUAGUAUGAAGUCAUAGCGAGUCGGCGAUGGUGGAAGGUCGAUACGAAUUCUAUAUUGAAGAACAUCUCGGAGUUUCUAACCGAAAUCCUAAUAGGAGAGUAGACUUAGACGGAGUUACACCGUUAUAUCAAGUAAACAGUAUAGAUUUUCUGUACUGAUGAUGAGUUGGUCAGUUUUUGACAACUAGGGUGGUACCGCGAAAUUUUAGCCUUUCGUCCCUUGA
rnacentral:ncRNA from 1 species